rnacentral:sRNA from 1 species
AGGAAAUUCAAGCAAUGGUUGCGUCAC